AUGAGUAUAGCCCACGAGGCAGCCCCCCUCUUCCCACUCCGGUCACCCUCUGCUCUUGAGGCCCCCAGCUCUGCUCCAUCUGUGUCUGUGGUGUACCUGCUGCCCGCCCUGUCCCCUCUCGGCCCUGAGGUGUCAGCUGUCCCUCUGCUGGGCUCUCCGUGUCCUGCAUCUUCUGACCUUGGGAGGCUUGUGUGUGAGCCCAGGGGGUGGGUGUCCUCAGGAGCAGGGGGGUGCCUGGGGACACCUCACGUCCCAGGAUCAUGCUGCCAGCCACAGGGUCGGGCCAGCCAUGGAAGGACACAGGGCAGUGACUGUUCAUGGCCAUCUUUAUUCCCAGUGCUGGCUAUCCCAAGAUACUGCCAGGCUACGGCCAGCCCCAUCUCUGCCAAUGUGACUGGAUCACCACCCCAUACCCCAGAGCAGCCUCGAGCCCUGCCCCACCCCUGCCCUGCGGAAGCCAAGUCCCCAGCUAUAAGCCCCUGCCCCUCCUGGUGGCCCAGGACUCUCAAAGGUGCACACAGGGGUCCUAGCGAGGGGCCCCUCGGUCAUCAGCCUUCUCCUCCAGGCUGGGCCGCCCAGCAGCCUGGAGCUGAGUCUGUCCCUCGGACGCUGGGCCACGUCACCUUCUCCUCCUCCAGGAGGCUUCACCUAUGGGCCCAGGAAGUCCUCCUUCCGAUAGCCCUUCUACAGUGGAGAGAGGCCCAAGGUCAGGGUACAUGUCUGCGCGUGCAGCCCUCUGCCCUCUGUCCCUCCUGCAGUGUGCGGGGUGUGGCCCGGACCCUUCCCCUCUGGGUCCCUGGUCUCCAUUCUCCCAUUGGCCUCUUCACUGUCUGCUUCACGUGGGUUUCUGUGACCCUCCCCCGGCAUCCCACGCCCUGCACCCGGGUCCCUGCUCGCUCUGGGCUCCGGAGACGUACCGCCCGGAAGUCACGGUGGAGCUUGCUGUACUGCCACAGGUUGGCCAGGAGGCUGGACGUUGCCCGGGAGGACUUCUCACUGUCGGGGCUGAGGGUUGAGGGGAGUCAGGAGGGGACACACAGCCAGGAAGCAGGGUGGGCUGGGAGGACCCCUGGCCAGGCUGCUGAAUGCCCUGGCCGGGGCCCUUACCUGUCCCUGCUUCUCUUGAUGAAGAUGAGCUUCUGA
rnacentral:lncRNA from 1 species